rnacentral:misc_RNA from 1 species
ACCUACUGUUUAAUUUUGAGGGUUCGUUUUUACGAAUACUCAAAAUUAGCACUUUAAGCAACGGGAUUUAUCCGUUGGCGCUGUGCGUUAGCACUUUGAAAACUGCAUAUAUAUUUAGUGAUAUGACAUCUAAUUUGUAAUAUAUAAAGUUGAUAACUUUUUAAAAUUAUCGAAGUUGAUAGCUUCUAAUCUAUCAAACCUUUUUAACUGGUCAA